rnacentral:rRNA from 1 species
UACGGAGGGUGCGAGCGUUGUUCGGAAUCACUGGGCGUAAAGGGCUCGUAGGCGGCCAACUAAGUCAGACGUGAAAUCCCUAGGCUCAACCUAGGAACUGCGUCUGAUACUGGAUGGCUUGAAUCCGGGAGAGGGAUGCAGAAUUCCAGGUGUAGCGGUGAAAUGCGUAGAUAUCUGGAGGAAUACCGGUGGCGAAGGCGGCAUCCUGGACCGGCAUUGACGCUGAGGAGCGAAAGCCAGGGGAGCAAACGGG